GGGGAUUUAGCUCAGUGGUAGAGCGCUUGCCUAGCAAGCACAAGGCCCUGGAUUCGAUCCCCAGCUCCG
rnacentral:tRNA from 1 species